rnacentral:lncRNA from 1 species
GUAAAUUAUCAUUUUCCAGUAUGAGAACUGAGUGGAAAGUUAUGACAGAAAGACCUCAGAAGCAUAUGUAAGACCACUAAGAAUAACAUUAUCUUCAUUUUAGAGAAGAUGGUUAAGUCAGUCUAAAUAUUAAUAUAAGCCUAUAUAGUUUAUUUGAUGUGGUACUUGGUGGUGAUGUUUUUACAUCUUCUUUUGAUGUGAUGAAGUUCACAGUUCAUUACAGUAUGAACUGGAAGAGGCUCAGAUUCAGACUGAAACAUCAGAAAGCUCUUUUGUCUAUCUGGAAUAAGGAAGAUGUAACAUCCUGGCCUGUCAUGUCAUUCAGAAAAAUGCUCUUUUGGCAGACAUUCAGCAAACCUCCUUGUGUUACUGGAUCCAGCCUCCCCAUACCCUGGACAGAAAGGCUUCCAGAGGCUUUCAUUUCCCCUCAGCUGGUGACAAAUGGGGACCUGGAGAUAGGAUGCUGAACCCUUUCACUCAAAAGAGAGAUGCACUGGGCAGCAGGCUGCAAAGCCCUAAGUCAGGUGCCACAUCACAGAAGAGUGAAAAAGUGUUGAGACUCCUCUGCAAACAUGGCAACAGAGAAAUCACCCUUAGUGUCCUGCAGUGAGAGGGAGAAGAACAGCACCUGUGACAGGCAGCUCACAGUCCCU